CUCAGUGAUGAAAUUUCCAUUUCUGAGGUGUAGUGAUAUUGAGACCCUGUUUUACAGGGAGAACCCCUUGAUGUUGCUACAUCUUUCCAUGAAAAUUCGGAAAUGUCUGAGAU